AGUAGAAACUUGCACGCCAGGAACACCUUCCUUUGGACUUGGCAAGUCAUCGCCUCCUGACACUACUAAGAGCGCUUGGCGAGUGGUUCUCCAAAGAAGGCCUGCGAUGGGGGAGGCCCUCUGAGAGCCCCUGGAGAUGCCACUCCCAGCUCCAAAUGUCUCGGUAAUAUUGGGAAAUUUGCAUUCUGUUUUUAUUAUAUUGCCGUGUCUAUUUUUGAUCUAAACCUAAUGUGCUCCCUAUACCCUUAAACACAGUAAAAUUGGAGCAUCCCAAACGUUUACCUUGUUUUAUCCCAUGGCUUCAUGCCCUCCCCACCCCAGGGCCCAAAGGGUGGUUGCAGCCUAUUUUGAGGAAUAAGACACUGCACAGCUUUAUAGGAGCACCAGGCUUUCAACUCUCUGAACUCGUUUUUAUCAGGCCAGUCUCUGCUCAUGAUAAAUAUGCACAUAAGGGGAAAAACAUACAAAGUCAGCGUUCUUUUGUUUACCUAGUUAGGUAGGAGGGCAAACGUUUAUCAAGCUAUUUUUCUCUAUUUAAAUACAUGGUUAAAGUUCUUAAUUAUUGGAGGAACUGUGGUCGCCGUUAUCAAAUAAUUAUUUUAGACACGCGCACAUUGGUGUUGCCCCAAAGUAAUUAGGGGACAGCCAUAAAACUUGGCAGUUGAUGGCAGCUCCUAACAUUUCAUUAUUUUCGGUUUAUUUAUGAGGAAACCUAGAACCAGCCUCCUGCUCGUGUUUUAAUUACUCAGCAUGGGAAGGAUUGAUUUCCGAAAACCUCCCCACUGCAGAAGGUAAUGAUGAGCCCAUUGCCCUGAGGAGCUCAGGGCCUCAGAGGUAGGCAGCCUCCCCCCUGGGGAUGUCACUGCGGCCCUUUAGUGUGUCCCAGAGUCCCUGGAGUGUAUCCUGUCCUGAGAGCUCACGUGGAAGCAUUCUACGGAGGAAAACAGAACACUGCUUCCAGCGUUUGGACCUGGCAGCCUCAAUGAAAGGCUGUGACACAUGUGGAGGGCAACCUUUGGCGCAGAAUUCUCAUCUUCCUCAUCCAGGUUACCUUCUCCGGCAUCCUGGAUUAGCAGUACCUGUUCCCUUACCAGCACCCUUCUGGCGGGCCAAGGUGUGGGCAUCUAGCUUGGGAAUGGACCGUCACCAGCUUCCAGAAGUGAACUGCUUCAUUGAAUGCUAUUCUCACAAGCAAGAUCAGGAUACAUUCUUGUGAAAAAUCUAAGCAUUGGCCCAUUUAGAGAUGAAAUUGCUGGAUCAUAGGAAGUCACAUCUGAUCGUUUUGUGAAUGCUCCUAGGUUUCCAUCCAGCAUGGUUGUGUCAACUAAAUACAUUUUCUACUCCCCUGUGGGAUGCGUCUCCACUCAGCUGAACCACCCUCAGGACAAAUUCAUUUGCCCCCUUCUAAAAGACAAAGACAAACGCAACGUGCAGGUCACCAACAUUCAGUUUCUGAAAGAUAUUUGUUGGAUCUAAAAUGAAUUUGAUGGCAUCCGAUGUGGACCCGGGGCCGUGUGCCUCUCUCUCCCCGUGCUGCAGGCCUCAUACUCAUACUCAGACUCAUACUCUCCAGCCUGGUGUUGUCUUAGAAUUAGCUGCACGCUUCUUUCAUGCGAUGACAUUCAAGCCACAAAAAGACAGCAAGGUCAGCGAGGGCUGGAAGAGAAAGUGAGUGUAGCUCAUAAAACCAAGAGGCACUUAAGACUGAACAAGAUUAACAAGUGCUGUUGAAAAGACCUACUCGGCUGGAGUCACAGAGGGGAGAAGGGCGUCAGCUCAAUUCUCUUGGCUUUGCUGUCACACCAGUGGAAAGCACCCGAGCGCCUUGCAUGAGACUGCAAGAAAGCUCUUUGGAAAACGUCUGCGUCUUUCAUGGCUAUUUCUCUUAGACCUUUGCAGAAGGAACCAGGGGAUCUUUGUCGCUGUCCCAGUUAUCUGCUGUGGACGUCCUGUUGUCUGCCUGGUGGGAAUGGUUAUGUCUGAGGUUUGCUCAGGUUCUUACAGUCAAGUCAUUUAAUGACCUUUCUAGAACAAUUUCAACUAAAAAAACCCAACCAACCAAAAAAAAAAAAAAAAAACAAACACAACAAAACAAAAAACAAAAACAAAAAACUGUUGCAGAUUCAGUCACAGCAAGCCGAGGAAGAUGAUCCAUGCCUUUUUGCGAGCUGCGUGUAAAUACAUGAAUUGGUGGAAUUCACAAAAAACCUUGUCAUUCAAAUGCCUACGGACCUUUCUGUUGCUGGGCUAAAAUAGUUUUUAGAUCUUAUGACAACUGCCACUUUCAGGACACGCCAUGCUUUCUAUUUCAGGACACACAUUGGCUUUAAAUGCUUAAUAACUGAAAGAUCUCAGUAAUGUUGGGUAAUGCCUGGGUAAGCAAUUUGCUAAAUGCUAUAAAUAUGGAAGGGACUCCCAAAGGCAUGCCAGGUGUACAUGCACGUUGCAAUACAGGCAGGUAAAUAGAGCCCCACCCGAUGUUUACUUAGAUGCCUCCUAAUUUAAGGCAUUUACUUUAAGGUUUUCACGGCACGUCCAUACAGAAGCUGCAGGUGCUCUGGUGGAAGGCAGAGGGAAUGUCUUGGACGUCUCACCCUCUUGUGUUAUGUCCGUAUAGAAGCUACAAGUGCGGGCAGCCCGGGUGGCUCAGCGGUUUAGCGCCGCCUUCGGCCCAGGGCAUGAUCCUGGAGUCCUGGGACCGAGUCCCAUGUCAGGCUCCCUGCAUGGAGCCUGCUUCUCCCUCUACCUGUGUCUCUGCCUCUCUCUCUCUCUGAUGAAUAAAUAAAUAAAAUCUUUAAAAAAAAAAAAAAAG
rnacentral:lncRNA from 1 species